UACAGGGGGUGCAAAGCGUUGCUCGGAAUUCAUUGGGCGUAAAGCGCACGUAGGCGGUUCGUUAUGUCGGAUGUGAAAGCCCUUGGCUUAAACCGGAGGAAGUCGCAGUCCGAAACUGGCGAGCUAGAGUACGAAAGAGGAGUCGCGGAAUUCCCGGUGUAGAGGUGAAAUUCGUAGAUAUCGGGAGGAACACCGGUGGCGAAGGCGGGUCUCUGGGCAGUAACUGACGCUGAGGAGCGAAAGCGUGGGGAGCGAACA
rnacentral:rRNA from 1 species